rnacentral:lncRNA from 1 species
CGCAGGCAGCAAAACACAAAAUUAGGAACCAUAGUAAUGAAAAUGUAAAAUUUGAACAUGCAUGCAGUUUGUUGGUCUUUUAAAAUAUGUAUUUCAUGUAAAGAUAUUAGAGGAACUAGGCAUUUCGGUGCUUUUAAAAGAAAAUUCAUGCUGAUUGGUCUUUCUCUCAAGAAGCUUAAAAUGGAUAUCACUUGGUAAUUUCUAACACCUUUCAAAAGUCCUAAUCCAUGAAUUUUUUACAGGC